rfam:Musa acuminata subsp. malaccensis Doubled-haploid Pahang (DH-Pahang) genomic chromosome, chr5
UGCAGUCGAUGAUGAAGAAUUAAGCAAGUCCUGAUCUUUCUGUGAUUAUUACAUUAAUUAUCACCAUCUUUCGGCUGAGACUGCA